UACGUAGGGUCCGAGCGUUGUCCGGAAUCAUUGGGCGUAAAGAGCGUGUAGGCGGCCCGGUAAGUCCGCUGUGAAAGUCCAGGGCUCAACCCUGGGAUGCCGGUGGAUACUGUCGGGCUGAGUCCGGAAGGGGCGAGUGGAAUUCCUGGUGUAGCGGUGAAAUGCGCAGAUAUCAGGAGGAACACCGAUGGCGAAGGCAG
rnacentral:rRNA from 1 species